AAGUUUUUACAUAUAAAGGGCAUAAUAAGAUUAGAUUUUGGCACAGUUAAAGUUUUCGUUUAUUAUCCGAUACAAUAGUUUAUAUUUUACAUCUCCCUCUAUUUUAUCUCUUGCUGCUUUUUCAACUUAUUUACUGAGUAUGAUAAUGAUAGUUAUGACAGAGAGUCCUAUCAGAUAAUAUGAAAUAAUUAUUGAGUCACUGAGAUUAGAAAGAAGAAAUUGAUCAGGGCAGUUGAUAUGAAUUCAUACAUAAACCAUAUGAUAAUUUCAUGAC
rnacentral:lncRNA from 1 species